GCCAAUUGCUUUUAGAUUAGCACUGCCCCCACUUACCGGGUGUGUCCUCUCCUCUGGUGUGUGACACUGUGACACACGUUUCUCUCCAAUCUCCAAGAUAUCUUGGUAGACUUAGGCUGAGGUUUCGUUUCAUGGACCUAAUUAGUUAUUCCAUGUUCUUUUGUGAGUUCACGUCUGCCUUUUUGCGAAUUUACUUCGUAGCUAAUUUAUGUAAUUGCAACUUUUUUUUUAAGCAACUCUUUUUUUUUCCGGGUAAAAGGGAUCUAUUAAUCAAUUCAACACAUUACAAUCUUGGAGAGCCAGGUCAACCACCGGUGGCGGACCGGACCCCAACCAAGUCUCCGUCCGAUGCACAACUCUGGCUAAGUUUGUGAGCAUAUGACCAACACGAUUCUGAGAUCUAUCCCUUUUAACAAACGACAAACUUCUACCCUGAGAAACUAAAUUUCUAAUCUCAUUAACUUAGGUCGCAUAAUCAGACCUAUCCAAACCUUUCGCACGCCCAUCCGUCAGCACAAACGAGCGGUCCAUUUCGACGAUGACCGGCAGCUCACUCCACUGCAGUGCCAAGGCGAUGCCUUCCAUGCAGGGACAGAGUUCAGCCUCCACUGGGUUGCAGCGCUGAAGAACACGAUAGGAGGAAAAGAAUAUCUCCCCUGAUCAUCGCGGAGAAUCAUGCCCAUACCGGCCCCUUGUGGAUCCUUUGAGAACGAGCCAUCAAUGUUCAGUUUCACCAUGCCCGGCGGGGGCUUACGCCAGGUCUUCAGAACAGCACAG
rnacentral:lncRNA from 1 species